CAGAUUUCACCAUCCUGUUGCCUGCGAUGUUUUGCUGCUGCAGUUUAAAUUUCAUCUUCAAAAAAGUGUGUAAAAGUGUUUAAAUAUUUGUGAUUAUUGAAUAAAAUAUUUUAUAUUUGAUAAAUCCAACUUGCUCUCGAUUUUACUUUUUUGCAUGCAACAUUUCAUGUCACACAAAAAACUGCUCACAUCCCCACCGAGUGGGCAAGCGUUUGAAAUAAUGUGUAAAUUUGACACGACGAUAUGACGUACAGCCUAUGUACCCUAUAAAGGGUACAAGGCCUGUACACCAAAAAGGAGUUAACCCAGUCUUAUCCGAUAACGGGUCAAAACUACACUAUAAGGGGUUGCGCCAGAUGAGUGUGUAUGAAAAACUUUCAGAAUCCGAAACACAACAGCGAGAAAAGUCAUCAAAAAAGUUAAGGCGAAGAAACUUAUGCUGAAAGCAGCUUUAAAGAUGCUUCGACCCAAAACGUGCCGUCUACCCUUUCCAUCCACUGCUGCAAUACUGGAUACAAUCGAGCUGCUGGAUUCGAUCGAGUGUUAUAAAUCAGGUUCCCGGUUGGCAUUCUUGGCGUAUGUGUUGGCCGUCGGGGAACGCUUCGGCUUGUCCAGGACGAAGAUACCUUCGUCCUUUUCCUGCGCAUCUGGUUCACGAUGAACAUCACCACCAGGAAGUCGAAGAGCAGGCCUUCCCGAUGACAGCCGUUAGGAUGUUCUCCUGCCCAAAGAAGCUCGCGGUUCAGUCACUGUGGUGCUCGUCCAUCAGCGUAAUGUGUUUGGUCUAGCUCAGAUCCAGGCCGUCCCUGAAGCAACUGGCUCGAGCGAUCGUGAAAAUUUUAAUAAUUGUAAGUUUUUGAUAAAUUCCAAUAAAAACUUUUGAACAUGCUAUAAA